UGGGGAAUAUUGGGCAAUGGGGGCAACCCUGACCCAGCGACGCCGCGUGGGGGAAGACGGCCUUCGGGUUGUAAACCUCUUUUGUACGGAAAGAAGGAAGUGACGGUACUGUACGAAUAAGUCCCGGCUAACUACGUGCCAGCAGCCGCGGUAAUACGUAGGGGACGAGCGUUGUCCGGAAUUACUGGGCGUAAAGGGCGCGCAGGCCGUGCUGCAAGUCAGCUGUUAAAUGUCUGGGCUUAACCCGGGCAUGCGGUUGAGACUGCAGUGCUGGAGUGCUGUAGAGGCAAGUGGAAUUCCCAGUGUAGCGGUGAAAUGCGUAGAUAUUGGGAAGAACACCGGUGGCGAAGGCGACUUGCUGGGCAGCAACUGACGCUGAGGCGCGAAAGCCAGGGGAGCAAACGG
rnacentral:rRNA from 1 species